GCGGUGAAAUGCGUAGAGAUUGGGAAAACACCGGUGGCGAGCGCUCUGCUAGGCCGCAACUGACACUCAGGGACGAAAGCUAGGGGAGCGAAUGGGAUUAGAUACCCCAGUAGUCCUAGCCGUAAACGAUGGAUACUAGGCGUUGUGGGUAUCGACCCUCACAGUGUCGUAGCUAACGCGUUAAGUAUCCCGCCUGGGGAGUACGCGCGCAAGCGUGAAACUCAAAGGAAUUGACGGGGGCCCGCACAAGCGGUGGAGUAUGUGGUUUAAUUCGAUGCAACGCGAAGAACCUUACCAGGACUUGACAUGUCGCGAAUCUCAGGGAACUGAGAGGCUUGGGAGCCGACACAGUGGUGCAUGGCUGUCGUCAGCUCGUGUCGUGAGAUGCUUGGGUUAAGUCCCGCAACGAGCGCAACCCUCGUUUGUUAGUUGCCAGCAUGUAAGCUUGGGCACUGCUAGAGAGACUGCCGGUGACAAAUCCGGAGGAAGGUGGGGAUGACGUCAAGUCAGCAUGCCCCUUACGUUCUGGGCUACACACGUACUACAAUGCUACGGACAAAGGGCAGCAAGUUAGCGAUGACAAGCAAAUCCCAUAAACCGUGGCUCAGUUCAGAUUGCAGGCUGCAACUCGCCUGCAUGAA
rnacentral:rRNA from 1 species